rnacentral:misc_RNA from 1 species
UAAUAUGAAACACGUACACAUAUGCGAAACGUCCAAAGCUGGUGUCCGAAGUGGUAAAAAUAUUAGUGUGCGAUGUUGUCAAUGUACGGAGUGUCUUGUACAGUAUCCGACGGAAAACGCUUUUAGCUAAGAGGAAAAACCUUCGUAAGUACCUUCCUGAAUCCGGCCCCAGUUGUCCCAGAAAGUGGUACGACUGUACGAGUUGAACAUAAUCAGUUGUCCCAGAAAGUGGUACGACUGAACGAGUUGAACAUAACCAGUUGUCCCAGAAAGUGGUACGAGUUGUCCGGAGCGAGCGAGCGAGCUAGCGAACGGACUCGAUUCGUAAUUUGUGAGCGCGGGUGUAAGUGGUCAACAGCAGCCAUGGGCGAGGAGUACGAGAGGAAGAGGAUAUCCACCAAUCCUUUCCUGUACACGGACGGCAGCCUGGUGGAGGAAGACGUGUUGCAGGCUGGCCUGGAGGGUAAUGGUGGGUCCACUGAGGGAUCCAUAGCCUCCACCAUCACAGGCGACACAGACCAGACGCCCCUGGCGGAGAUUCCUCAGAGACAGAUGUGGGCCGUGAGCCGCGGCGCCGUCACCAUGUCCAUUGAUGUCGACGAUGAGAAGUUACAGACAAUGACUGGCUCCUACUCUGAAAUUUUGGAGCGGCCAUUGCUGGGACAGCGUAUUGCUGAAGAAGAUGAGCAGGGAGAUGAGCAAGAUGAUGUGGCUAGAGAUGAGAUGGAUGCCAUUACUCCUGUGUGCUCUAACAUGGACCCAGUUCAAGCUUUUCUUACUCAGGAGCGCCUAAGUGCUUUCAUGGCUCAUGAUGACUCUCUUGGAGAAGCUCCAGAAUACGGAACAGAAAUAUCACGUCAUGACUGCCAGGAACGACCUUGGUCUCUUAAAGUGGGGAGAUGCAGCCCGGAUCAAGCAGAGUCAAUGCUACAGGGUGCUGGAAUGGUUACCCGACAGGGAGACAUCAUAUCCUUCGUGGCCGAUGAUCUUCACAACAAAAUAAAGCUCUCAAGCCCAGUGUCAAAGAGUGUGACAUCUUUCCCAGGAUCGAGAAGUUCAACCCCAAGUUUGUUACGGGCAGCAUUAGCCCCUCAAGUGCCACCCAUUGAUCCGUCAAUUAUAAAUGAUAUAGAAACACAUGCCAGGCAUAUUGCAACAUCUGUUGACACACUUAUUGAAAAUCUCACUGGAACUCUCCAUAGUAUUUCGGCACUAACCGUAGACUGUGUUGAGACAUACCGAGAUGCGGUGUGUAAAACCUGCGAUGCUGUUGAUGCAAAUAUUAAGUCCAUGUAUCAGCUGAUGGCUAAAACAGAAGAACUAAGCAAGUCAAUGAAACCUAUUUACAAGCUACAAGAUCAAAUUAAGGAAGUGAGGCGACUUCUCGAUAUGUUCGAAAAUAUUAUCCAUUCCAGUGGAUCAUGAAAUUCUAAGUACAGUACAGCGAAUAAAUUACUUAAACAGAAUUCAGCAAACUAAUUUGCCAGUGAUCUCUCUGUGUGAUAAAAAAUUAUGCACUUAAGUAGAGUAAUGACAAAAUAUACAGCACUGUAUAUUUAAUACUAAGAAAUUUCAGUGAGGCACAAAAGUGUCUUGUGAAUGGAAUAUAAAUUUAGGUAAAAGUGAUACAUCUAAUAAUGUUAUAUCACUGAUUGAUCAGGUGAUUAAAUUAUAUCACUGAUACAUCAGAUGAUACUGUAAUGCAAGUUGUGAUUCUGCCAUAUUAUUUUAAGUUAAAUGUGCUAAUUUCUUCAGUUGUUUACAAUAAGUAAAGGUUAAUGCACAUUCAGUUUAUUAUGAGAGUGUACACCUUUAUUAUUAUGCUCAGAUCAACCUCUAAUAUUACAAUAAAUAUAUAUAAUGGAGAUAUUAAUUAAAUUUUCUCUUGAGUAAGAGUGCUUUGAUUAUAUUUAUCAAGUAUUGAUCUCAUACAAACUCUAAAGAUAUAUUUAAAGGGAAGAUGCUAUGCAUUGUAAUAAACUAGCAUUGACUGUAAUGAAAUGCCAAUUUCUGGGGGAGCUCCAGUGGCUCCCUGAAGCUACUAUCACUGAUAGUGUGCCAUCUCCCAGUAGUACAAUCGAGUUUGUUAGCGACUCAGUCGAGAAUUCAGGGUUUGAAUCCAGGUCAGCACAGAAAUGGUUGGGCUUGUUUCCUUUCACCUCAUGCAGUAAACCUAGCUCAUGCUAUGUCACUCAUUCAUGUCAACCUAGCAGUAAAUAGGUACCCAGGAGUCGGCUUGUUGUGAGGUUGCAUCCUGGCCGGGAUCAGUAAUUUGACCCUGGAGCGGGAAGAUGGGGGGGGGGGGGCUCGGUAUAAGCUUAACAUGUAAUGUCUGUAUAACCUGUUUUCUUGUCCGGUGACACAAUGAAUUAUUAUGAAUUAUCUACUGGGUUGCAUCAGCUGCAGAGUUCUGGCUCUUAGUUCCAGGUAGGCCAAAUAGAACUCUGUGGCGGAUGCAACCCAGUAGAUGGUAUAAUAUCAGUGAUACUAGCUGUAUUAAUAAUUAAUAAUCUGUAAUAAACUAUAGUACAGUGUAUAUUUUUAUAAUAAAUGUGAAAUUUAU